CUCCCCACCUGCAAGGGAGUCGCUUCACAGGCGGUGAAGCAGGUCUGCAGGUGUCUAUCUUUCUCUCCCCCUUUCUGUCUUCCCCUCUUCUUUCCAUUUCUCUCUAUCCUAUCCAACAACGACGACAUCAACAACAAUAACAACUGCAACAACAAUAAUAAUAAUAAACCAAGGGCAACAAAAGGGGAAAAAAAAGUAGCAGCUGACAAUACCAGAUUGGAGGAGGGGAGAUCCACAAGAAGAAGGAUUUGAAACCACUUGAAAUUGUGGUCUAAUUGUCCAUAGAAAUCAGAAGAAAGCAUUUUUGAGGAUAAUACCGGCAUUCUAGAAGUGGGAAGGGUUCAUUAUGAUUCACUACAGAUAAUCCCUGUUGGUGCCCAGCUGCUGUGAUGUAAGAAGACUAUCAGACACCAGUCAUAUGAAUUGAUCAUCUUGAACAUUCAACCCAAAAGAUCCUUCAAACGACUGCAACCUCAGCUCUGGAUAUCUGAUCCUGAGGAAAAACUGCCCAACUGAGUCUAGUCAACUCACAGGACUGUGAGUGGUGAAAUCAAGCUGUGGUUUAAAUCACAAACUGGGGGGGGGGGUGAGGGGGGCAGUUUGUUGCAUAAUAGUAGAUAAAGCAGGAAUCCAUUAACUUCUGUCUGUCUCACUCAACCAUCUUAUCCCCCCCCCCCAAAAAAAAAAGUAGGAACAGACAGUGGUGUUUCUUUUAUCUUCUGCUUCUGGGGAGGGUCCUGUGAAAUGGUGAAAUGGCCCAAAGUUAGAGAGAGAGAGAGAGAGAGAGAGAGAGAGAGGGA